GCUGCCUUUUGCUACGGUUGGGGGAACCCGACGAGACGCGCCGUACCGGGUACGACAAGACGACGCACC
rnacentral:ncRNA from 1 species